rnacentral:rRNA from 1 species
GUAGGGGGCAAGCGUUAUCCGGAAUUACUGGGUGUAAAGGGUGCGUAGGUGGUAUGGCAAGUCAGAAGUGAAAACCCAGGGCUUAACUCUGGGACUGCUUUUGAAACUGUCAGACUGGAGUGCAGGAGAGGUAAGCGGAAUUCCUAGUGUAGCGGUGAAAUGCGUAGAUAUUAGGAGGAACAUCAGUGGCGAAGGCGGCUUACUGGACUGAAACUGACACUGAGGCACGAAAGCGUGGGGAGCAAACAGGAUUAGAUACCCUGGUAGUCCACGCCGUAAACGAAGAAUACUAGGUGUCGGGGCCACAGAGGCUUCGGUGCCGCAGCAAACGCAUUAAGUAUUCCACCUGGGGAGU